GCUCAAUGUUGGAAUCCUUCGGGAAUUGUAGUUUACCGAGGUGUUUUUAAGGUGUACGUUUUGAAGCAAGUCCUCUGGAAAGGGGUAUGAUACAGGGUGAUAAUCCCGUAGCUUCAAUUCUGUAUAUCGUACUAGACACUUUUGGAGAGUCAGGUUGUUUGGGAAUGCAGCCUAAAUUGGGUGGUAGGCAUCAUCCAAAGCUAAAUAUUGACACGAGACCGAUAGCGAACAAGUACCGUGAGGGAAAGAUGAAAAGCACUUUGGAAAGAGAGUUCAAGGAGGACGUGAAACCGUUAAUAGGGUAAGCGGAAGGUCUUAGUGAGUGAACCUCUAUUGAUCAGUUUCGUGUGGUUGUUUGUAGGUGGUGAGAUGAACGCAAGUCGUCUUGCUAUCUAUGCUGAUGAUUACAUGGAGUGUACUCAGUGGUUGUUCUACGAGUUGGGUCUUGUGCUCUAGAGGCUUUAGUAGGAAGGUGACAGCUACGGCUGUGUUAUAGACUACUGGAGAAUCUAGUGGUGUGGGGCUUUCAUCCGAACUGGUAUUUGUUUCGGUGGUUGGAUUCAAAUGGGAAGUUCGAUGUUGCAUACUACCGCAAGGUAGAAUGUAGUGUCUAAUCACCUUUGGGUUCUUCUCCGUUCUACCGGUGAACUCGAUGUGCUUUCCAGCAUUACACUAAACCUGCCGACCCGUCUUGAAACACGGACCAAGGAGUCUAACAUAUGCGCAAGUCUUUGGGUGGCAAGCCCAUGGGCAUAAUGAAAGUGAAAUAGGUUUAGUUUUAUUACAACAACCGGGCCGGGACAAUGGGUUUUAAUCCGUGUUCUGAGUUUACAAUUGAGCGUACAUGUUGGGACCCGAAAGAUGGUGAACUAUGCCUGAAUAGGGCGAGGCCAGAGG
rnacentral:rRNA from 1 species